rnacentral:misc_RNA from 1 species
CUUAUUAUAGAACAGUGAUAUACAUAAAUCUAAUAUAUAUCCAAAGUCUUGCUUUCAAGACAUGAAAAACGUAAUUUGAAUUUCGUCAAUCGACUCAGUUAAAUGGGAGAUGUCCCUUUUUUUUGGCAGUAUACAUGCAUAUGUGAACACAUCCAUACAUGCGUUUCUGGACUCAGUCCUUAUAACAGAACAGUACCCUAAGUCACACUGUGUUUCAAUAACAUAUGUUAUAACAAUAUCUAGAAUCACAUUUUAAAUCUCCCAUUUACUAAAUUUUUCUAAAAUAUUCAGGUUGAAUGCCAGAUAGUUAGCUUUGACUGUAUAUACAAACACAGAAGAAAGCUUAUAAAUGUGGAAUUUAGUUUGUCACAAAUGCAAAUUAAAAAAUAUUUUCUUUUUUACUUGAAUAUUUAUUUAAGAUUACAGAGUUAAAUACUGUAGUUAUAUAAUUGAAUAUAUAUGAAAGGCUUCUUAUCCUUUGAAUCUUUUUCCGAGUAUUAAUUAAUAUAUUAGUUAGAUAUUAUGAUGAAAUUGAACAAAUAUAUUUAAGGAUAUCAUUUAUUGUCCUGUAAUGCUUUUUUUUUUGUUAUAAAAAAUGGCAUAUCUAAGAAUAAAUGGCUUCUAAGAAUGCUGCUAAGUUUUUUAUUGAACAACUUUCUUGUACAACACAUCUCUAACAGCAAGUUUUCAGACAGUUUUUUUCAUUUAGUUGAUUUGCAAGUUCACAAAAUGACUUGGAUGCAAAUAUCACAUGUACCAUUUUGUUAUGUUAUUUAAUUUAAAAUUUAUAUAUUAUAGAAAAAUGUUCCAAUUAUGUUUUUCUUUCCUUUUGUAUAAAAUUUUCAGCAUUAAGAUUAAACAAAUUCAAUUCUUAAUUAAGAUUUAAUAAACUUGAUGUUUAAAAAAUAUCCAUCAGAAACUAACUCAGUAUUGAGAAACUCAGAACCCAUUAAUUUCCCUUUGAUCAUUAAGUGGUGGUGAAUGGUGAAAUUUCCUUUUGUAUCAUGAUGCUUGCAGAAUUUGAUGUUUAUAAAAAUAAUACAAGCAAAAUUUAUGCAAUUUGAGUGAAAUGAAGGCUGUGUUUCAUCUGAACAAAAUUAUGAUUUUAAAACAAAAAUUUUACUUCAGGUAUUCAGUGUAUAGUAUACUAUUUAAAAAUAAAAAAAUAAAAAAAAAAAUUAAGUGGUUUAUUUUUCUCCUAUCCUUUUCUGUUAGCACUAAAGAUUUUAAAAUACUGGUAAGAUAUAGAAAAAGUAUUAUAUUAUGAAAAUAUAUUGACAUGAAAAUAUAUAUAAGCUUAUCGUAUUUUAACUCUUGUAUUUGCAUUUUUCUAGUAUAUGAGUGAAAUCAUUUAAAAAUGCACUCUUUACUUUUAUUAAUUACAUCUUCUUUAUCUUCUCUUUCAUUAAUUGCAUCUCUUUCGUUUUAUUUCAUCUUUAAGUAAAUACAUGUUUUUGAUUUAGGUAGUGGACAUGUAAAGAAAAAAAAAAAAAAAAAAAAAAAGAAGGAUACAACAGUUAAGACAAAUCAUAACUGUAGUUCAUAGAGUAUUUAACUUGCAGUGAAGUAAAUGUGAAACUCUUGGCAUGCAAAAUUCAGCCUUGGUUGGCAUUGGCUUUAUAAAAAGUUCAUCUUACAUAAAAUUAAAUUUUUGCUUAACUUGAUAUUUAAUUUUGACAAGAUAUUUUCUCUCUGGCAACCAUACUCUGGAUUAUCUGCCGUGUAAUUUGUUACUAAAUGUUGUGUGCGAUUAAAAACAAAAUUGUGAAUGAAAAUAGUGUUGAGAUAACCAUGGUUGUGAUGGUUAGUCUAAAAUAUUAGUGAUAGUUGAGUUGAUAAUAUUUGUGCAAUGUGCAUGCACUUAAAUGUGAUAAACAGUACAGUAGAAUAGUGAAAUAUUAAACAAAAUGUCUUUUUAAUAUAUCUGAUUUUAUAGUUUUCAAACACAAUGUAUUUAUUCUGUAAUAUAUUUGUUUAUAGCAUUGUUUUUAAAAUGAGUAAUUUAUUGUAAACUGUGAUAUUUAUUUAUCAAUAUGAAGACUCUUUUUAUAUGUUGUUUAACAUUACUGAAUUAAAAAUUUUUUAAGUGUUUACGUAUUAACACAACUACUUUAGUAGCAUUCAACAAAUAUUUUCAAUGUGCCAAACUCUGGCAACCAUACUCAUAACAUUUGUUUCAGUCAAGCAACGGCACCAUUUUCCUACACAUUCUUUUUCGUUGUGUUCCAAGUUCAAACAGUUUUUAUAAAUAAACUGAUCUUUUUUCCCCCCUUAAACUUGUUUUAAAAUAUGAGCUUGUAGAAUUUGCCAGCAAAUGGAAGAAAUUGCUUUAAAAUAUCUGCAGGACUACAGAAUUUUACUGAAAAUUUUUUAAAGGAAAAAAUGAAGAAAUUCAUUUCUUAGAUAGUUGCUGUUGCCAAAAUUUGCACAAAGCCAAGUCUCUGCAGUUCUCUGAUGCUUUUUAAAGUGAAAACAGAUUGCUCAAACAGAUUACAGAAAGAUUUGAAGAAGCAUGUGUGUUUUAUAUUUUUAAUGCAUCUCGCUAUCCUUAUUUAAUAAUUCCAAUUUUUAUUCUGAAUUCCUAAAGUAUGUUUUCUUUUUAUAACCACUUUUAAAAAAAUUAAAUAUUUAAUUUUAUUGUAAUAAGUAAUAUAGGAAGGUAUUGCUGCAGUUAUAUCCUAAGAUUUAUAAAUAUCCUUAUUAUCUCUUGUAAUAAAGAUAUCAAAGUUGUAUAAUAUGUUGAUAAUAUUCACCGAUUUAUAAAUAUCAAUAGCUAUGGAAUCUUUUUAAAACAAAGCUGUGAAAACCAGCAAUUGGCACCCAAUAAGUAGCUUUUACCUUUUCAUCUGUAAAAAAUCUUCUUAUUGCACCAAGAUGGUUGUGUUAAUACAUAAGUACCUUUUUUUAUUAAUAUUUUGAUUUUAAUGUAAUGUGUAAAAUCUUUAUUGGUAUUUGUGUUUAUUUCAGCUCUAAUGUUCUGGAAUAAAAGCAGAAGUUUUGACAAAAGAUAUCAGUGCUCCGUAUGUCCUUAUUCUUCAAAUGAUUCAUCAAACAUGAGAAGGCACAAAAUGGUCCACACUCAAGAACGCCCAUAUGGUUGCAUGUUCUGUAGUAAAGCAUUUAAUCAUAAAGUUAGUUUAGAGCGUCAUAUGCGUACUCAUUUUUGUUAGAAACCAUUUAAGUGAAAAACUGUUUUCAGUCCAUAUUUUUCACUGGAAAAUUUCUUGCAAUUAAUGUACAUUGGAGUAACACUGAUAUAGCCACAAGUUUCACAGGAAGAUACAAAUGUCAAUUUUGUCCAUAUUCAUCACGCAGUUUUUCAAACUGGAAAAGACAUAAAAUGAGCCAGCAUUCUGCAUCUGUUUCUCUGCCGUAUUUAUGAAAUAAAUGGAAAUCCAUAUAAUCAUCUCAUGUAGAUACUCAUAAACGUAACAUUUCAAUGCAGUACCUGCAUAUGUAAUUUUGUGAAUAAACUAUGAAAACUUAU